rnacentral:rRNA from 1 species
UACGGAGGGUGCAAGCGUUAGUCGGAAUUACUGGGCGUAAAGGGUGCGUAGGCGGAUGUAUAAGUCAAUUGUGAAAUUCCGGGGCUUAACCCCGGAGCUGCAACUGAAACUGUACAUCUAGAGGAAUGGCGGAGAAAACGGAAUUCCAUGUGUAGCGGUGAAAUGCGUAGAUAUAUGGAAGAACACCUGUGGCGAAGGCGGUUUUCUAGCCUCCCCCUGACGCUGAGGCACGAAAGCAAGGGGAGCAAACAGG